rnacentral:lncRNA from 1 species
CUUUUAUUCUCUUUUUCUUCCCCCCAACACAGAAAACUAGUUUGCACUUGUCGCGGGCGGGGGGGGUGGGGGUGGGGAUCGUUGUCCCGGGCUCUGUAUUAGUAAUAACCGGCCUGGAGAGCCAUGGGGCCCCGGGGUAAACAGCCCAUCCGCACGCCGACGCCGCGGGCUCGCGCUGGGGCAUCUGCCCCGUCGCGGUCACCUCCCGACAACCUCUUGGACUUCGGGGCUGCAACUAAUGGAAGAUUCUCAAAGAAAUCAUUUCCUAGCAGAACGACUUGAUACCAUUGUGGAAACAGACGUUAUUCAGGGCAUUAUCUGUUUCAUUCUUCAGUCAAGGACAUUUGGAACCCACAAAUCACUCAGGGGAUAAAGAUCCGCACCAGACUCAACCGCAGACACCUCCACAAGAGAAAACACCUGUCAGCCACAGAAAUUACGCUUUGCCAGCUCCACCUGGCUCUGCGGGCAGAGCAGCGC